rnacentral:lncRNA from 1 species
GGAGGGUUGGGUCUUCCUGGAUGCCCUGAGGGAGAUUCCUUCACCCUGUCUCUGGUGUUGAGGCUUUGGGUCUUUACUUUCCUUGGCCUGGAGCUGGUCACUCCCACCCUGCCUCAUAUCCAGGGGCUUUUCUUUCUCCCUUCAGUUUUCCCCAUGCAGAGCAGGGCUGCCUCUUGCUCACAUGUUUGCUUUGCCAGGCCUCUGGGCCCUAUUUCUCUGUCCACAGCCCUCCUCCUUCCUCUUUCAGAGGCUGAGAACCCCAAAGCUUCCUCCAGAGACUGGAAAAAGUGUGGCCAGAUCCUGGCCACAAGGACAACAGCACUGGACAUGUCACACAAUACUAGUAACUGGGUAUGGUAGCUCACAUCAGCAAUCUCAACGCGUGGGAGACAGAGACAGGAAGAUUACAGCAAGUUCUAUGCCAGCCUGGGCUAUACGAAACUUGCCUGACUGAAUCCUCCCCUCCCUACCUGCUGGAGCAGGUCUGCGAUCUCCAUCAUUUCCUCACCAGUUGGUGGACGGACAUGCCUGUCAUGGACAGUUGUUUUUACCGAGAGAAAAAGGUAGCAAGAAAGAGCAUCUUGUCAGGCGACAGGGUUUCCCCCUGUUAGUGAAGGCUGCCCAUCUACCAAGUUCCUUGAGUCCCUGUGGAGUUCUAUCCCUGUUAAGACCUGGACAGGGAGGAUGAAGCGAGAUACCCUGUUCUCCCAGCCAAUUCCAUGCAGACCUGGGCUUUGCAUCUGUCUGUUGUGUGCACGUGCAAGUCACAGCCUCGUCACACUGUGUGACUGGAGACAGAGACGGGCCUCUUCCAGGACAAGCAGAUGACCAAGGGGCUUCAGUUAUAGGAAAGGAUGCCACGUAGGAUCGGGAAGGGCGGUGUGUGUCCUCUGUAGAACCCUUGCUUCUGGGGCAAGGUGCCCUGUAAGUCUGUGAUCUCUAUUGUGGCCUGGGGGGUGUCUGAGGAGGGCGGGGUCACAGGUGUGGGUGGUGGGCGAGGCAGGGUCUCUCUGUCGGCCCCCACCCCAUGUGGGGACAGGCCACCUGCUUCACGACAAGAGACAAGACGUUCACUUUUCUGCUUCCAAUUUCACACCUCAACCUUUGAACUUUGGACCUGUGGUUUAUUAAUAAUGUGAUUACCUGGUAGGAGGGAAAUGCCAAGACACUUAUCUUUCCCCUACGGGACAGCCCCACCCAACUGUCAGGCGUGUUCCCCUGGGCCUUGGUUCCUCCCCAGCACCCAC